rnacentral:rRNA from 1 species
UACGAAGGGGGCUAGCGUUGCUCGGAAUUACUGGGCGUAAAGGGCGCGUAGGCGGACAGUUUAGUCAGAGGUGAAAGCCCAGGGCUCAACCUUGGAAUUGCCUUUGAUACUGGCUGUCUUGAGUUCGGGAGAGGUGAGUGGAAUGCCGAGUGUAGAGGUGAAAUUCGUAGAUAUUCGGCGGAACACCCGUGGCGAAGGCGGCUCUCUGGGACGGUACUGACGCUGAGACGCGAAAGCGUGGGGAGCGAACAGG